rnacentral:rRNA from 1 species
UUCCGGUUGAUCCUGCCGGAGGCCAUUGCUAUCGGGGUCCGAUUUAGCCAUGCUAGUCGCACGGGUUCAGACCCGUGGCGAAAAGCUCAGUAACACGUGGCCGAACUACCCUACGGAUCGGAACAACCUCGGGAAACUGAGGCUAAUUCCGAAUAGCGCUCCCACGCUUGAAUGCCGGGAGCGCCAAACGCUCCGGCGCCGUAGGAUGUGGCUGCGGCCGAUUAGGUAGACGGUGGGGUAACGGCCCACCGUGCCGAUAAUCGGUACGGGUUGUGAGAGCAAGAGCCCGGAGAUGGAUUCUGAGACAAGAAUCCAGGCCCUACGGGGCGCAGCAGGCGCGAAACCUUUACACUGUGCGAGAGCGCGAUAAGGGGACCCCGAGUGCGAGGGCAUACAGUCCUCGCUUUUGUACACCGUAAAGUGGUGUACGAAUAAGAGCUGGGCAAGACCGGUGCCAGCCGCCGCGGUAAUACCGGCAGCUCGAGUGAUGGCCAAUAUUAUUGGGCCUAAAGCGUCCGUAGCCGGCCGAACAAGUCCGUCGGGAAAUCCAGCGGCCUAACCGCUGGGCGUCCGGCGGAAACUGUCCGGCUUGGGACCGGAAGACCCGAGGGGUACGUCCGGGGUAGGAGUGAAAUCCUGUAAUCCUGGACGGACCGCCGGUGGCGAAAGCGCCUCGGGAAGACGGAUCCGACGGUGAGGGACGAAAGCUAGGGUCUCGAACCGGAUUAGAUACCCGGGUAGUCCUAGCCGUAAACGAUGCCCGCUAGGUGUGGCGCAGGCUACGAGCUUGCGCUGUGCCGUAGGGAAGCCGUGAAGCGGGCCGCCUGGGAAGUACGUCCGCAAGGAUGAAACUUAAAGGAAUUGGCGGGGGAGCACUACAACCGGAGGAGCCUGCGGUUUAAUUGGACUCAACGCCGGU